rfam:Apaloderma vittatum contig5430, whole genome shotgun sequence.
GGCCAGUUAGCUCAGUCAUUUAGAGUGUGGUGCUGAUAGCACCAAGGUCAUGGGUUCGAUCCCCAUUUGAUCC